UGCGGUUAUACAAAAAUUAAAUUGAAUUUUUUUAGGAUUUAAUAAAUAAAUAUUUAAAUUAAUAAUUUAAAUUUUAAAUUAUAAAGUGAAAUUUUAAUUUAAUUAAAAUUUAUUUAUUUUUAUGAUAUUAAUAAAUUUUAUAAAAAACUAGGAUUAGAUACCCUAUUAUAAAAAUUUAAAUUUAAUAAUCUUGAAAUAGUAUAUAAUUUUUUAUAGAAACUUAAAUAAUUUGGCGGUAUUUUAGUUCAUUUAGAGGAAUCUGUCUAAUAAUUGAUAAUCCACGAUUAAAUUUACUUAAUUUUUAAUUUUGUAUAUCGUUGUUAAAAAAAUAUUUUUAAAUAAAUAUAAUAUUUUAAAAUUUAUAUAAAAAAUUAAAUCAGAUCAAGAUGCAGAUUAUAAUUAAGAAUAUGAUGGAUUACAAUAAAUUUUAUUUUUGAAUAUUAAUUUGUAAAAAUUAAUUGAAAUUGGAUUUAAAUGUAAUUUUAUUAAUUUAAUUAAAAUGAUUUUAAAUUAAAAUAUGUACAUAUUGCCCGUCGCUUUCAUUAAUAAAUUGAAAUAAGUCGUAACAAAGUAGAGGUACUGGAAAGUGUUUCUAGAAAGAU
rnacentral:rRNA from 1 species